GGAAGUUCUGGGAGAUGAUGACAGGCUCCAGCUCGGGCUAUGGGCGUCACUUAUGGCCUGGAAUUUACCUAGGCAACACUGCAGCCCAGGGAACCACCCGGAGGCUGACCAGCCUUCCCGUACAAGCCAUCAGAAAGGGGAGGCCACCCGGGUGCCCACCAGCGGGUGAUGAAGACAGACAUGGAGGACGACAGCGAGGAGGAACCUCAAACCUCGUGCUGUGUGAAAGGAGCCCAUCUCGAGAGGUCACACAGUGUAGGAUAGGGCGUACCAGCUGGCGGGUCUGGGGUCUCCUGGGAGGGUGAGGAAAAUGUCUCGGAAUGAGAUAAAGGUGAUGGCUGCAUAGCACGAUGAAUGCACAAAGGGUCGCUAUGUUUCAAAGGGGUUAUUUUAUGCAAUGUGAAUUUCACCUUCAUUUAAGAAAAAAGAGAAAAACGUCAUCCCAAGACUGGAUUCUGCACCUCACUUCUCCAGCAGUUUUGAUACAGAAAGAAGCGGUCGUGCCCAGGCCUCCGGGGUGCUCCGUGCCGG
rnacentral:lncRNA from 1 species